rnacentral:rRNA from 1 species
UACGAAGGGGGCUAGCGUUGCUCGGAAUGACUGGGCGUAAAGAGCUCGUAGGCGGUUUGUCGCGUCUGCUGUGAAAACUCGGGGCUUAACUCCGGGCCUGCAGUGGGUACGGGCAGACUAGAGUGCGGUAGGGGAGACUGGAAUUCCUGGUGUAGCGGUGAAAUGCGCAGAUAUCAGGAGGAACACCGGUGGCGAAGGCGGGUCUCUGGGCCGUAACUGACGCUGAGGAGCGAAAGCGUGGGGAGCGAACAGG